rnacentral:lncRNA from 1 species
UUAUUAGCUCUAGAAGUAAAUGAGCUAUAUACAAAAUAAGAAAAGAACAGGAGAGAGCAGUUCAAUUCUGGGUUGUGUACAUAAUCUGAGAGAGAGAGAGAGAGAUAUUUAUUCUUCUAUUGUAUUUCUUUCAUCCAUAUUUCUGUUUAGGCUAAAUGCCAUCUUCACUUCUUUGUUCUCAUUGGACACAACCAAUGGGAAUGUAAGGUUCUUCACUGGAGUCCAGUGUAGAACAUGAGACACAUCUGCAAGAAGCAGCUGAGGAGGGCUAUAAAAGGCUGAAAACGUUACUGCAUAUUAUUAUUAAUAUAAUGAAUAACUAAUAAUAAAUUUUAUAUUUGUUCCC